rnacentral:rRNA from 1 species
AAAGAUCGGCCCGCGUCUGAUUAGCUAGUUGGUGAGGUAAUGGCUCACCAAGGCGACGAUCAGUAGCUGGUCUGAGAGGAUGAUCAGCCACAUUGGGACUGAGACACGGCCCAAACUCCUACGGGAGGCAGCAGUGGGGAAUAUUGGACAAUGGGCGCAAGCCUGAUCCAGCCAUGCCGCGUGAGUGAUGAAGGCCCUAGGGUUGUAAAGCUCUUUUGUGCGGGAAGAUAAUGACGGUACCGCAAGAAUAAGCCCCGGCUAACUUCGUGCCAGCAGCCGCGGUAAUACGAAGGGGGCUAGCGUUGCUCGGAAUCACUGGGCGUAAAGGGUGCGUAGGCGGGUCUUUAAGUCAGGGGUGAAAUCCUGGAGCUCAACUCCAGAACUGCCUUUGAUACUGAAGAUCUUGAGUUCGGGAGAGGUGAGUGGAACUGCGAGUGUAGAGGUGAAAUUCGUAGAUAUUCGCAAGAACACCAGUGGCGAAGGCGGCUCACUGGCCCGAUACUGACGCUGAGGCACGAAAGCGUGGGGA